UAUAGAUUGGAAUAAGUUUUGAUCUAUAGCCAUCUCUUGCUGAAUAAAGCCUUACCACACUCCACCAGAAGUGAGACUGCUUUCUCGGUUCCACACGUGUUCUGAACUGGCAUCUACUGAGCUGGAUGUUAUGAAAUACUCGCUACAGAUGACAUCAAAAUAUUAAAUCCAAGUAUAGUCGGUUCCUUUUUUAUAAUACUAAAAUUGCAGAAAUAACAUUCUUUAAUCGCUUUUUUUUUUGUCUUAUAGAAGGCAAAUUUCCCCUUAUCUGUAAGGGGAAGAACAUUAUUAUUUGUAAACCUUUAUCAAAACAGAAGCAGCAUAUCCAGCAAUUUCUCAAUGUUGUAAUCGGUGGUACUGCAGCACGUGCCAUUCGGAGGUCAAAUUCUGUACAAGUAAGGAUUAAAUAAAUCAAUCGCCUACGAAACAGCCAGCAUAUGAAAGCUUUUUGCAAGUCGUCGUUCUCAAAAUGAAACUUUUGUCCUGCCAAGAACUUUCUACUGUAUUGAAAUAAGACAUGUUUCCAGAUUGAAUAACUUGGGACCUAUACAAGUGCAUCUUACUGAAUGAAGACUUUUCGUCCACCACAAGGACAACUGUUUUCUUGGUUCUGCGUACCUCGGCAAUUUACACUAAGGAUGUUGAAUGUGCGUAAUUAUCUGUCAAUGACAUCAAAACAUCAGGAAUUCAAGGGCAUGGUGUCUUUUAAAAUGUUUAGACCGAAGUGAUUGCAACAAAACUGGACGAUUCUGAAGUUUCAUCAAGCGUAACCUUGGAACCCGAAGUCUUUACAAAUUAUGGACAAAGAUUCAAAAGGUGCUAUGAUAUCGUAAACUUGUGAUUUAUACCAAGUUUAAAAUGUAUCGAUUAAAAUGAUAAAAAUUGGAUUAUCAAAAUCUGCACAUUAGAAAUGAUAUUUAAUAUAAUCAACAUUUUUGGCUGCUAAUAUAUUUUUGAAAUGAUUGCUUCCAUUGUAACUCCAAAUGAUGGAUAACAUUAUUUAGAACUCUUCUGAAAAAUGCAGAAAUUCGUUUACAAAUGUUUGAUGUUCAACGAAGUAUCUUUCGUGCAUCGCAGUUAUGCAUUCAAAAUAAAUGUUUGGCUCAUCAAUUAAUUUUUUAUCGAGAAAUUGUUCAGAAUUUUUUAUUCGGUUAUCAAUUCUGCCUGUAAACUCUGAGUUAAAAAUUCAUUCGAUGUGCAUGUGAGUCUUCUUAUAUGUGAAAUGGUUUAAAGUCCUACGUAUUGGUUCCCAUUAAUCGAACAAAUCUAUAUUAUAUUAACAUUCUAUAUUUUACUAGUGCCGUAUACUUACUGCUGACUUAAUGAAUAUCUAUCUUUAUGUAUCCAAACGGCCAAUUUUAUGAUAUGCUAUUACAUGAGCAAUUUAACAUUUCAAUCGAAGUGUAUUUCAAUUUAACAGUGUCUGAUUUGAAAUCAGCUCCCUUAGGUUAACUAUAAACUUAAUUUGUUGAAAUUUAGAGAAAAUAUAUUUGAUCUUGUAUUCACUUUUUGGUAAUUUUUUAAUAUCAAAUCAUAGAAACUAAAGAUGCAAUAAAACUAGAUUCGUGCAUCCAAAUAUCGCUUUCACAUUUAGAAAUCGUAUUUAGACUUGAUACAAAUUAAACGUAAUCCACCUUUUCAGAAUGCACCUUUAUUGUAACCAACGAAGCUAUCAAAGUGCAUGACCCGGUUUUGACAGCUGUCAGUAUUUGUCCCGAUUAUGGGAAUGUUUUAAAUUUAUAAAUUGGUGAGUUAAGCAGAAUGUUGGAAGUUUUUGCAUGGAAUCUACAAAAUUAUGGCUGUUGAAUAAAUCGCAAAUCCUGCAUUACUAUUAGCCUGCUUUAACUCGAUAUCUCAUCAAAACUAGGAAUAUCGACCCUUGGUUUUUGAACAUUUUAUGUAAUCGAUUUGGGCAUAAAAUGUUCAUAGAAAUAUUUUUCGAACUUGGGCUGUAGGAUGCAUUUUAUCCUCAGAUUGAGAGGUGCAUUAUGUGAAUGGGAAAUAUUGCAUUGAUAUAUAUUGACAUGCGAUGGAUGGAGUUAAAUCAAUAUACUUAAGAGAUAGUUGUAUGUGAAACAGAAACCGUGCGAGAUCAUAGUAGGCAAGUACAAUGCUAGUCCCGACUCUAUUGUAAUGUGGUGCGAAAGCGCUGUGGAUUAAUUGCUCAUACUCAAAAGUUGUGGUGUGGGCCUGGUAGCAAAAAUGUCUGAUAAUCGCUUAUCGCGUAAUUGGAUAUUGUAUGCAAUUAUGAGUGAGAAAUGCAUGUGAAAGCCGAGGACUGGUUGUGUGGGGGUGCCGGCGUGAGAAAUGUGAAAUCGUGUUAGGUUUGGUGGCUUAGGUAAUGAAUGCGAGGAUUCUGAGCUUUUUGUUGGGUGUG